ensembl:piRNA 21ur-2969 ncRNA
UGAGAGGACCAUGUCAAAUGU